rnacentral:tRNA from 1 species
GGUGAUAUAGCUCAGUUGGUAGAGUGCUUGCCUGCCAUGCACAAAGCCCUGGGUCCAAUCCCCAGCACCA